AUAACAAUGUUGAAACUCAUGUUCCCAUAGAAUCACUGAAGUUAAGCAACAUUGAACCUAGUCAGUACCUAGAUGGUUGAAUGUUUGGGAAUACCAGGUGCUGUCAU